rnacentral:lncRNA from 1 species
AGCAAAUAAAUCUUUCUUCCUUUAAGUUUUUUUUUUUUUUUUUUUUUUAGGUAUUUUGUCAUAGCACCAGAAAACUGGUCAACAGUGAUCAAAUAGAAUUAACUUGAGAAAGUAGGACUGGCUCAACAUUCAAAUGUAAAUUCAACCUAUCAACUGAAGGAAGAAGAAGAAAAAAAAAAACUACAGAUAUUAUCACGAUAGAUAAAGACAAAUUAUUGAUAAAAUCCAAUGCAUAUUACUGAAUAAAAUUCUUAGUAAACUGGAGAUAGAUGUAAACUUCCUCAACUGAAAAACUACAUCUACAAAAACUCUAUAUCUGGCAUUACAUUUAAUAGUGACAAGAGAAUCUGUUACUCUAAGAUGAGCAAGGAGGCAAGAUUAUUUGUUCUUACUAUUCCUAUUGAAUUUCACCCUGAGUCCUAGUCAAUAUGAUGUUGUAAGACAAAGAAUUAAAGUGGUAAAUAGAUCUGAAUGGAAGAAAUAUGGUUGUCAUUAUCCACAUAUGACAUGCAUGUUCACAUGGAAAAUCCACGGAAUCUAUAAAAACAAUCAGAACUAAUAGGUGAGUCGAACAUAGUUGCAAGAUGUCAAUAGUAAAUAAAGAUUUAUUAUAUUUCUACAUACUAGUUGUGAAAAAUUAAAAUACAAAAAUUNCCUGGGGAUGACCUUGGAGAU